AUUGAACGCUGGCGGCAUGCUUUACACAUGCAAGUCGAGCGGCAGCGCGGGGGCAACCCUGGCGGCGAGCGGCGAACGGGUGAGGAAUACAUCGGAACGUACCCCGGAGUGGGGGAUAACGCCGCGAAAGCGGCGCUAAUACCGCAUAUGCUCUGAGGAGGAAAGUGGGGGACCGCAAGGCCUCACGCUCUGGGAGCGGCCGAUGUCCGAUUAGCUGGUUGGUGGGGUAAAGGCCCACCAAGGCGACGAUCGGUAGCUGGUCUGAGAGGAUGAUCAGCCACACUGGGACUGAGACACGGCCCAGACUCCUACGGGAGGCAGCAGUGGGGAAUUUUGGACAAUGGGGGCAACCCUGAUCCAGCCAUGCCGCGUGCGGGAAGAAGGCCUCGGUUGUAAACCGCUUUAGUCGGAGAAAGGACAGAUCCUAAUAAGGU
rnacentral:rRNA from 1 species